AGUCGAGCGGUAGCACAGGGGAGCUUGCUCCCUGGGUGACGAGCGGCGGACGGGUGAGUAAUGUCUGGGAAACUGCCUGAUGGAGGGGGAUAACUACUGGAAACGGUAGCUAAUACCGCAUAACGUCGCAAGACCAAAGAGGGGGACCUUCGGGCCUCUUGCCAUCAGAUGUGCCCAGAUGGGAUUAGCUAGUAGGUGGGGUAAUGGCUCACCUAGGCGACGAUCCCUAGCUGGUCUGAGAGGAUGACCAGCCACACUGGAACUGAGACACGGUCCAGACUCCUACGGGAGGCAGCAGUGGGGAAUAUUGCACAAUGGGCGCAAGCCUGAUGCAGCCAUGCCGCGUGUGUGAAGAAGGCCUUCGGGUUGUAAAGCACUUUCAGCGAGGAGGAAGGUGGUGAACUUAAUACGUUCAUCAAUUGACGUUACUCGCAGAAGAAGCACCGGCUAACUCCGUGCCAGCAGCCGCGGUAAUACGGAGGGUGCAAGCGUUAAUCGGAAUUACUGGGCGUAAAGCGCACGCAGGCGGUUUGUUAAGUCAGAUGUGAAAUCCCCGGGCUCAACCUGGGAACUGCAUUUGAAACUGGCAAGCUAGAGUCUCGUAGAGGGGGGUAGAAUUCCAGGUGUAGCGGUGAAAUGCGUAGAGAUCUGGAGGAAUACCGGUGGCGAAGGCGGCCCCCUGGACGAAGACUGACGCUCAGGUGCGAAAGCGU
rnacentral:rRNA from 1 species